ACAAAGGAAUCCCCACCAGUUCAGGCUCUUAGACUCAGGCAAGCAGACUGGGUGGAAGAUUUUUCUCAGUAGCCUAGAGAAUGGUGUCGGCCAAACCAUACAAAGGUCAGAAAUACCAAAAGAUAAAGAAGGAAUGUAUCAAGAAGAAGACGCUGUUUAGGGACAGCGAGUUCCCUCCCGAGGGCCCCUCCCUGUUCUACAGCAAGGCGGCUCCUGCGGACAUAGUCUGGAAAAGACCCGGGGAUAUCGUUUCCAAUCCGCGCUUUUUCACUGAAGGUCGUGGAGCAGACGAUUUCUCGCAAGGCUCCUUGGGAAAUUGUUGGUUCGUCGCGGCGUGUGCCUGUAUUGCAGAAAGGAAAAACCUUUUGCGAAAAAUUGUACCGGAUAUUGAGAAACAAGACUGGGCAAAGGGCCGGAAGUACGCCGGAAUAUUCCAUUUCAAGUUCUGGCAGUGCGGAGAAUGGGUCGAUGUCGUCAUAGACGACUUUCUUCCCACCCGACAAGGGAGACUAAUCUUCAUGCACUCCAAAUCAAGAAACGAAUUCUGGUCGGCGCUACUAGAGAAAGCGUAUGCAAAAUUAUUUGGGGGUUACGAGGCGCUGGUGGCCGGAAAAGCCAAGGACGCCAUGGUCGACAUGACAGGGGGCGUGGCAGAAGGGAUAGAAAUCAAGGACUACAAAAACGAGGAGGAGAGAAAGAAAUUGUUCAAGAUUCUACGUAAAUCAAAGGAAAACAUGUCGUUAAUAAGUACAUCUAUCGCAGUAAGUAACCAAAGUGAUUCGGUGUUAUUAUUUAGUUAAAAUCCAUGUAGAUGGUGGAAGCGAACUUGCAAAGCGACAACUGCAAUGGUCUUGUGAUAUCUUAAUUCGAUGGUCAGACACCAGAGAUAGGUGGCGUGUUCUUAUAUAGAUGUUUUGUAUGAUAAUCAUGUAGGAUAUAGAUGGUUCUUAAAAACUAUUCAAUUAUUCAUUGACCUGAGGUCAAGGUCUUGAAAAUGAGGCUGAUGCAGCCCGUCGUCAGCAUUAACGUCAGUCAAUAAUUUUUUAAUCUUACGAUACUCUGUAGUAGGAAUUAAAGAGAAAUGAUCUUGCUGUUCUCUCAUACAGAAAACAUGUAACACAUAACAGACCGGAAGCAUAAAAUUAAUAUUUUGUAUAAAAAUCAAAAUUUUAUUUCCUGAAUAUUAAGGCAGUAGGAAAAGAGAUGGAGGAGAAGCUAUCAUGUGGUCUGGUGAAGGGCCACGCCUACAGCGUGACGAACGUCCGGAAACUUAAGCUUGGGACGGGACUCAAGUCUAUAUUCAGCAGAGAGAAAAUCCACAUGAUCCGGUGUCGUAAUCCGUGGGGAGGAUCUGAUUGGAAAGGGGCUUGGAGUAACGGGUUUGUAUUUGUAUGAACCAAAAAUGUAAAGAGUAAUUAGACUAAGUGUCCCUUGUAAACUGUAAAUACAAACUGGCUCUGCCGUCUUCAACAUUUUUAAAUUACUUUUAUAAAACUCAGCUUCCAAUCCGAAUCCUAGAAAAUCACAAGUCUGUGAAUUUGAGGUGAAAUUUCGAUUUGAGGCGAAUUAUUUAGUUGAGGAAAGUUGGUGACGGCGGAACCAAAUCUCUUGAAUAUGCCAGUGUUUAUCGGUAGUUCACACUGUGAUGAAAGCAAUCUACUAUUUGUUUCUCACAACAAGGAUGAUUUUAUUCUGUUAAGAUCUCCAGAAUGGAAGAAAGUAAGCGAUAGCGAGAAAAAGGAGCUUGGUCUUACGUUUGCAGACAAUGGAGAAUUUUGGAUGUCGUUUGAGGAUUUCUGUCGGUACUUUACCAGCAUCGACAUCUGUCACAUGAUUAACACUUCCUUCUUCUCGACGUCCAAGACAUGGAAGGAAGAUAUAGUGGAGGGAGAGUGGAAGAGGAACCAUUGUGGAGGAUGCGGCAACAACAAAACAUUUCUAGAAAAUCCUCAAUAUAUGUUUGAAAUAAGCGGUUUUGAAGAAGAAAUCCUAGUCUCUUUGGAGCAAUUUGAUAGACGCACAGAAAAAGUCAAAGGAAAGUCCAACUACACUAUAGGUACCACCAUUGUCAAGGCAGAUGUAAACCGGAAGUACAGGAUGCACGAUAAACUAGAGAGGGUGCAUUCUGGACCGUUUUCUAACGCUAGGAAUGUGUUUGCCCGUGUGAACGUGCGUCCCGGACGUUACGUCAUCAUUCCGUCCACGUUUGAACCAGGUUGUCAUGGGAAAUUCAUUCUCAGAACAUACAGCAGCAAGGGACUGAACCUUCGAGAACUGCGAUUGGACGAGCCUGUCCCGCCCACUUUGUGUGGGAUUCCCUCUACUCUCAAGAAGAAGAAAACUUGCGCAACGCAGGUCACAAUGGUAAGAGGCGAGGAAUUUCCAGGAAACGGAAAAAAAGGCGGAUAUCUUUACUGUAAAAUAAGAUGUGACGGCAGGGUACUAUACACGAGACUAUGUAAGGACAUACUAAAUCCAGAAUGGAACGACCGAACGACAUUCUACAGAAAGAGUCCGGAAAAGGACAUCAUAAUUGAGGUGUGGCACAGGGGUAGAGUGAUGGACACGUUUCUGGGUAAGUGCGUGAUUCCAAUGUCUGAGAGCGCCACCUACCGGGGAGGAAACGUCAACAGGAGGUUCGGACUCACCGCCAGGGGGAAGAGGAAAGAGAAAAUGGAGGGGUAUAUUUGGCUCAAAGUUUUACAUACGAAUGAUUUAAACAGGGUUUGAUUAUGGUCAAACGUUAUAUUGAAACAAUUUCAUGUAUAACGAACUAUGCACCUUUAUACAUGUAUACUAUACACCUUACUUUUUUUUAAUGUCUGCAUACCUACAUGUAUUGUUGUGAAAUAUUUGUUCAGUCAUCAUUUUUUUUGGUUACAUUUUCAUUCUCUUUUCAUUGUGUUUUUCAACUUUGCAACCGACCCAUGAAUUCUUAUAAUAAACCCAAAGGUUUUCCUUUAACAUGGCUGAAUAGUCAACAUAUGAUAUAAAAGUAUUUUUGCAUAGCAAAUAUACUCUUCUUUUUUGUUUGUCUAGAUAGCUUUUAAAAUAGUACUUAAUUUUUGAAGAUCUAGAACACUUUGACGAUUAGAUUGUUUUCGUGUAAAGCCUAUACAAAUACACUUAUGAAUCCUGUUAUAAUACAUUUUGUUAUUUACAUGUAGCUGUCAUUUUGUAAAUUUUGAAUUUACUGCCACCCGGUAAAUUCAAAAUUUACAACAAAACAUAGCUUUUACAAGUCAUAACCCGUUUUUUGGUUUUAUUUGUUGGAUGUUUGUUGAAUUUUAUUUGUUGGAUUUUUAAGGAAUUUUUUUCGGGUUGUGGUAGACUGUUAGUUUUGGGGUUUUUUUGUUAUAAGUGCGGUGUUCAUCCAAUGAAAGAUAAUUAUAUGUAUCACUGUUUCAUGUCACUUGACUCAAUCUGAUUUUAAAUAAUGUACAUGUUCUGAAUAUGUUUGUUUAUUUAUACGGAUAAUUAUUUUAUGUACAUGUAUGUUGUGUUCCCUAUGUAUUUGAGGAUGUGUGAACAAGAAAAAGAAGAAAAACAUUUCUAUUAAAAAUAUCAAA
rnacentral:misc_RNA from 1 species